AGAGUUUGAUCCUGGCUCAGGAUGAACGCUGGCGGUAUGCUUAAUACAUGCAAGUCGUACGAGGGCUUUUAGCUCUAGUGGCGGACGGGUGAGUAACACGUGAGAAUCUGCCCUUAGGAGGAGGAUAACAGCUGGAAACGGUUGCUAAUACUCCAUACGCCGAGAGGUGAAAGGAUUUAUCUGCUUAAGGAGGAGCUCGCGUCUGAUUAGCUAGUUGGUAAGGUAAAGGCUUACCAAGGCGACGAUCAGUAGCUGGUUUGAGAGGAUGAUCAGCCACACUGGGACUGAGACACGGCCCAGACUCCUACGGGAGGCAGCAGUAGGGAAUUUUCCGCAAUGGGCGAAAGCCUGACGGAGCAAUACCGCGUGAGGGAUGACGGCCUGUGGGUUGUAAACCUCUUUUCUCAAGGAAGAAGUUCUGACGGUACUUGAGGAAUAAGCAUCGGCUAACUCUGUGCCAGCAGCCGCGGUAAUACAGAGGAUGCAAGCGUUAUCCGGAAUCACUGGGCAUAAAGCGUCUGUAGGUUGUUUGGUAAGUCUGCUGUUAAAGACUGGGGCUCAACCCCAGAAAAGCAGUGGAAACUGCUAGACUUGAGUGUGGUAGAGGUAGAGGGAAUUCCUAGUGUAGCGGUGAAAUGCGUAGAUAUUAGGAAGAACACCAAUGGCGAAGGCACUCUACUGGGCCAUAACUGACACUGAGAGACGACAGCUAGGGGAGCAAAUGGGAUUAGAUACCCCAGUAGUCCUAGCCGUAAACGAUGGAUACUAGAUGUUGCACGUAUUA
rnacentral:rRNA from 1 species